rnacentral:lncRNA from 1 species
CACCUAGCGUAGCAGCUGUACAGGCCUUGUUUCUCUGCAAUAGAUUAGGGUACUAUUUGAUCGUACCAGUCUGCCCGACUCGAUAUGGUUCAAACCUUGGACGAGUUGAGCUGAUUAAAAAACGAGUGGUCCUGUGGUCCAUCCAUAGUGGGGAGGUACCAUGAAGAAGAAUGAAAGGGCAUAUCCUGAAAGGUCGGCCAUAUA